UCUCUCUCUUCACUUUCUCACCACCCGCACUAAAGCCAAAGAACCCCAAAUUUGAAACCAUAAACCCUCCCUGAUCUUCCUCUAAAUCCAAAUAACCUAAAUGUCGUGAAAUCCUACUUGUGAUUUUCUCAUAUAUCCCUAAAAUCCCUAUAAUCCCGGGAAACAAACCCUAAUCCUUAUUUGCACAAGUCGAUGUCGUAGAUUUAAGAGUGUGGGCAUCAAUCGAUGUUGUAGAUUUGAGAGCGUGGGGAAAGCCUAACCUCUUUGUCUAAAGAUCUAGCUCCGAAUCUCUAUCUUCAUCAUCGUCAUCAGGUACUCUCAGUUCGGGUGAGAAGUGAUGGCUAGGCUGAUUUGGUUGAGUGUUGGGUUAGAGCUGCUAAGACUAAUGUUCAGGGACAAUCGUCAUCUUCUAAGGGUAGCUCAUUUGAUGACUUUAAGAAGUUGGGUCAUCCUUAUUUUUUUGGCACGUCAAAUCCAACGGAGGCAAAUGCUUGGAUUCUUAAGAUGGAGAAAUUCUUUGAUGUCAUAGAUUGCUUUAAGGAGCAAAAAACCUCUUAUGCAACAUUUCUGUUAGACAAACAAGCAUAUCAUUGGUGGUGUAUGACUAAGAGACUUUUAGAGGAUCAGGAACUUAUAACAUGGAAACAGUUUAGAGAGGCUUUCUACAACAAGUAUUUCCAUGAUAAUGUUAGACAACACAAGGUGGGAGAGUUUGUCAUUUAGAACAAGGGGAUAUGACGAUGGCCCAAUAUGAAGCCAAAUUUACAAAGUUGAUUGCUACAGAUGAGGAAAAGACAUUGAUUUUCCAGGAUGGAUUGAAACCUUAUCUAAAGAGCAAGAUAUCUAUUUUGAAGCUUAGUGUCUAUUGAAAGAUUGUAAACAGAGCCCUUAUAGGGGAGAAGGAUAAUAAGGAGCUUCAAUAGUAUAAAGAACAACAAAGGAAGAGGAGUAGGAGUGAUGGUACCCAUGAUAACUAAGAAUAGAAAAGGUUUGUUUCAAUUGAGGGUCAGAAUAAAGAGGAAAUAAUGCAAAAUUCAUAUAUGAUUUGUUCUAUUUGUGGUAAGAAACAUUCGGGUAAGUCAUACUAUAAAGAGACUAGAGUUUGCUUGGUUGUGGGAAGCAUGGACAUAUGAUUCUAGAUUGUUGAAAAGUUUUGAACGUAUUAGCAUGUUUGAAUU